rnacentral:rRNA from 1 species
UACGAUCCGUCCAAACGUUAUUCGGAAUUACUGGGCUUAAAGAGUUCGUAGGCGGUUGGAAAAGUUGGGUGUGAAAGCCCUCGGCUCAACCGAGGAAUUGCGCUCAAAACUGUUCGACUAGAGGGAGAUAGAGGUGAGCAGAACUGAUGGUGGAGCGGUGAAAUGCGUUGAUAUCAUCAGGAAUACCGGAGGCGAAGGCGGCUCACUGGGUCUCUUCUGACGCUGAGGUGCGAAAGCGUGGGGAGCAAACAGG